rnacentral:rRNA from 1 species
UUUACGGAGAGUUUGAUCCUGGCUCAGGACGAACGCUGGNNNNNNNNNNCAAGUCGAGCGGGGGUAGCGAGGUAGCUUGCUACUGAGUUAUCCUAGCGGCGGACGGGUGAGUAACGCGUGGGCAACCUGCCCUAUAGACUGGGAUAACAGGUCGAAAGGCCUGCUAAUACCGGAUGAGCUCGUAGGGUCGCAUGGUUUUACGAGGAAAGGGGAGACCCGCUAUAGGAUGGGCCCGCGUCCCAUUAGCUAGUUGGUGAGCCGUUACCUCACCAAC